CGCAUCUGUGCAUGCAGCAUAUCAAUAAGCGGAGGAAAAGAAACUAACGAGGAUUCCCCUAGUAACGGCGAGUGAAGCGGGAAGAGCUCAAAUUUGAAAUCUUAAAGGGUUUCCCUUUACGAAUUGUAGUUUAAAGAAGUGUUUUCUGUUGAGGUUUUGGUAAAAGUUCUUUGGAAUAGGACAUCAUAGAGGGUGAGAAUCCCGUAUUUGACCUUUACUUUCAACUUUGUGAUACACUUUCAAAGAGUCGGAUUGUUUGGGAAUGCAGUCCAAAAUGGGUGGUAAAUUUCAUCUAAAGCUAAAUAUUGGCGAGAGACCGAUAGCGAACAAGUACCGUGAGGGAAAGAUGAAAAGAACUUUGAAAAGAGUAGUUAAACAGUACGUGAAAUUGUCAAAAGGGAAGCGUUUGACACCAGUGUUGUUUUUCUGAAAAUCAAUUAAAGAACUGUUUAUGCUAAGUUGUUUAGACUUUAUCAGCUUAACUGUUUAGUUUUGAGCUUUUCUUUAAUGCACUUUUCAGUUAACAAGUCAACAUCAAUUUCUUUUGCUGUAAAAAAGCUUGAGGAAGGUGGCUUGAGAUUCGUCUUAAGUGUUUAUAGCCUCUUGCCUAUGCAGUCGGAGAGAUUGAGGUCUGCAGCGUAGAUCCUUCGGGGCUAAAUGCAUUUGUGCUAAGUUAUAGCAUUUUAUAGACAACUUGUUGACUAUGAUUUGUCUUGUAGCUUACUCGCUUAUGUUAUUUUACCUACGCUUAGGAUGUUGAGUCGUAGAGCUACGCAG
rnacentral:rRNA from 1 species